UCAACCUAGUAGSGACGUGUCCCUGCGCCCAACGACUUUUGUUGGGAUCGUGGCAAGUCUGCGAUCCAGGGGGUGAUGUUGAGAGCCGGAAGGCAAGGGGGUGCAAWCACUAGUUGGCCUUUGUCCCGAUUGCCGAGUGUUAUGUGCUUGAUGUCCAAGGCUUGAUGCUGAUCCUCCAAGUGGGGCUUGUCCCUGCACCAAUGGCUUUUGCCAGGAUCAUGGCGUUUGCUGUGAUCGAAAAAAUGAGGGGGUGAUGUUGAGAGCUGGAAGGCAAGGGGGUGCAAACACCAGUCGGCCUUUGUCCCGAUUGCUGAGUGUUAUGUGCUUGACGUCCAAGGCUUGAUGCUGACCCUUCAAGUGGGGGCUUUUUUGUUCCUGCGGUAACGACUCUGUUGGGAUCAUUGUGAUCAAGUUUGGUUGGUUUCGUAUUGUGGUGGGUUUUUUCGAAGCUUCUAUCGUUCUUUUACGCAUCGUGCGGUGCAUCUUGGGGGCUGUUUUGGCUUUUGGUUGCUUGCUUGGGCUUUAUGCUAGGCGGGUGGCUAAU
rnacentral:misc_RNA from 1 species